rnacentral:rRNA from 1 species
UCGAACGAGAAAGGGACCUUCGGGUCCUGAGUAGAGUGGCGAACGGGUGAGUAACACGUGAGUAACGUGCCUCUUAGUGGGGGAUAACAGUUCGAAAGGACUGCUGAUACCGCAUGAGACCACAGCGGCUGCGGCUGCAGGGGUCAAAGCCUUCGGGUGCUAGGAGAUCGGCUCGCGGCCCAUUAGGUAGUUGGCGGGGUAAUGGCCCACCAAGCCUGAGAUGGGUAGCUGGUCUGAGAGGAUGAUCAGCCACACUGGGACUGAGAUACGGCCCAGACUCCUACGGGAGGCAGCAGUGGGGAAUAUUGCGCAAUGAGCGAAAACCUGACGCAGCAACGCCGCGUGUGUGAUGAAGGCUCUCGGGUCGUAAAGCACUGUCAGAAGGGACGAAACAAAUGACGGUACCUUCAAAGGAAGCACCGGCUAACUCCGUGCCAGCAGCCGCGGUAAUACGGAGGGUGCAAGCGUUGUUCGGAAUCAUUGGGCGUAAAGCGCGCGCAGGCGGCUUGCCAAGUCUGAUGUGAAAUCCCGGGGCUCAACCUCGGAACUGCAUUGGAAACUGGUAGGCUUGAGUAUGUGAGGGGUUAGUGGAAUUCCUGAUAUAA